UGCUUAACACAUGCAAGUCGAACGGAAAGGCCCUGCUUUUGUGGGGUGCUCGAGUGGCGAACGGGUGAGUAACACGUGAGUAACCUGCCCUUGACUUUGGGAUAACUUCAGGAAACUGGGGCUAAUACCGGAUAGGAGCUCCUGCUGCAUGGUGGGGGUUGGAAAGUUUCGGCGGUUGGGGAUGGACUCGCGGCUUAUCAGCUUGUUGGUGGGGUAGUGGCUUACCAAGGCUUUGACGGGUAGCCGGCCUGAGAGGGUGACCGGCCACAUUGGGACUGAGAUACGGCCCAGACUCCUACGGGAGGCAGCAGUGGGGAAUAUUGCACAAUGGGCGGAAGCCUGAUGCAGCAACGCCGCGUGCGGGAUGACGGCCUUCGGGUUGUAAACCGCUUUCGCCUGUGACGAAGCGUGAGUGACGGCAAUGGGUAAAGAAGCACCGGCUAACUACGUGCCAGCAGCCGCGGUGAUACGUAGGGUGCGAGCGUUGUCCGGAUUUAUUGGGCGUAAAGGGCUCGUAGGUGGUUGAUCGCGUCGGAAGUGUAAUCUUGGGGCUUAACCCUGAGCGUGCUUUCGAUACGGGUUGACUUGAGGAAGGUAGGGGAGAAUGGAAUUCCUGGUGGAGCGGUGGAAUGCGCAGAUAUCAGGAGGAACACCAGUGGCGAAGGCGGUUCUCUGGGCCUUUCCUGACGCUGAGGAGCGAAAGCGUGGGGAGCGAACAGGCUUAGAUACCCUGGUAGUCCACGCUGUAAACGGUGGGUACUAGGUGUGGGGUCCAUUCCNCGGGUUCCGUGCCNGUAGCUANCGCUUUAAGUACCCCGCCUGGGGAGUACGGCCGCAAGGCUAAAACUCAAAGGAAUUGACGGGGCCCCGCACAAGCGGCGGAGCAUGCGGAUUAAUUCGAUGCAACGCGUAGAACCUUACCUGGGUUUGACAUGGAUCGGGAGUGCUCAGAGAUGGGUGUGCCUCUUUUGGGGUCGGUUCACAGGUGGUGCAUGGCUGUCGUCAGCUCGUGUCGUGAGAUGUUGGGUUAAGUCCCGCAACGAGCGCAACCCUUGUUCACUGUUGCCAGCACGUUAUGGUGGGGACUCAGUGGAGACCGCCGGGGUCAACUCGGAGGAAGGUGGGGAUGACGUCAAGUCAUCAUGCCCCUUAUGUCCAGGGCUUCACGCAUGCUACAAUGGCUGGUACAGAGAGUGGCGAGCCUGUGAGGGUGAGCGAAUCUCGGAAAGCCGGUCUCAGUUCGGAUUGGGGUCUGCAACUCGACCUCAUGAAGUCGGAGUCGCUAGUAAUCGCAGAUCAGCAACGCUGCGGUAAAUACGUUCCCGGGGCUUGUACACACCGCCCGUCAAGUCAUGAAAGUUGGUAACACCCGAAGCCGGUGGCCUAACCGUUGUGGGGGAGCCGUCGAAGGUGGGACUG
rnacentral:rRNA from 1 species